rnacentral:lncRNA from 1 species
CUCUCUUCCCCAACCGCUGUGUCGCGCGCCUUUCCCGCCUUCGCCAAUUAACACGCGCCGUAUCCGCGGGACGCAAAGAUUUGUGAGGUUGUACCCUGCGAUGGACUGACGUCCCAUCCAGGGUGUACGGGACCCUUGCUGGAUGAGCUCCGGAUCACCUUGACCCUGCUCAGCACAAGCGUCUCAGCUGGGGGUCCACGGUUCACGCUGCCAGCUCCAGCCCAUCUCAGCUUCCGCUCCCCCAGAGCUCUGCUGUGCCCAGCAGCCCACGGCCCACUCGCUGCACCCGCACGGGGGAUUACCGGGAGGAGGGAGGACGGCAGAGUAACCGCUUUGGUCUCAGCCCGUUUGCCAGCGAUUCGCAGCGUGCUUCUCUAUUCUGGGACGGGAAAGAGAGCGGAACAGGGCCACAAAAACAAUCUCAAACUAUUGUUCCACACCCUAUUAAAAUUCCAGAGAGGAUCCCACUAUUCAAGAAGAACUCGAUAA